GAUGAACGCUGGCGGCGUGCUUAACACAUGCAAGUCGAACGGAAAGGCUCCUGCUUGUAGGGGUACUCGAGUGGCGAACGGGUGAGUAACACGUGGGUGAUCUGCCCUGCACUUCGGGAUAAGCCUGGGAAACUGGGUCUAAUACCGGAUAGGACGAUGGUUUGGAUGCCAUUGUGGAAAGUUUUUCGGUGUGGGAUGAGCUCGCGGCCUAUCAGCUUGUUGGUGGGGUAAUGGCCUACCAAGGCGUCGACGGGUAGCCGGCCUGAGAGGGUGUACGGCCACAUUGGGACUGAGAUACGGCCCAGACUCCUACGGGAGGCAGCAGUGGGGAAUAUUGCACAAUGGGCGCAAGCCUGAUGCAGCGACGCCGCGUGGGGGAUGACGGCCUUCGGGUUGUAAACUCCUUUCGCUAGGGACGAAGCGCAAGUGACGGUACCUGGAGAAGAAGCACCGGCUAACUACGUG
rnacentral:rRNA from 1 species